rnacentral:rRNA from 1 species
CCUACGGGAGACAGCAGUGAGGAAUAUUGGUCAAUGUACGAGAGUCUGAACCAGCCAAGUAGCGUGAAGGAUGACUGCCCUAUGGGUUGUAAACUUCUUUUAUAUGGGAAUAAAAUGUUCCACGUGUGGGAUUUUGUAUGUACCAUAUGAAUAAGGAUCGGCUAACUCCGUGCCAGCAGCCGCGGUAAUACGGAGGAUCCGAGCGUUAUCCGGAUUUAUUGGGUUUAAAGGGAGCGUAGGUGGAUUGUUAAGUCAGUUGUGAAAGUUUGCGGCUCAACCGUAAAAUUGCAGUUGAAACUGGCAGUCUUGAGUACAGUAGAGGUGGGCGGAAUUCGUGGUGUAGCGGUGAAAUGCUUAGAUAUCACGAAGAACUCCGAUUGCGAAGGCAGUUCACUGGACUGCAACUGACACUGAGGCUCGAAAGUGUGGGUAUCAAACAGGAUUAGAUACCCGUGUAGUC